rnacentral:rRNA from 1 species
AUACGUAGGGGGCGAGCGUUGUCCGGAAUGAUUGGGCGUAAAGGGCGCGUAGGCGGGCGUGCAAGUUAGGUGUGAAAACCUGGGGCUCAACUCCAGACUGGCAUCUAAAACUGCACAUCUUGAGUGACAGAGGGGAAAGUGGAAUUCCUGGGGGAGCGGUAAAAUGCGUAGAGAUCAGGAGGAACACCGGUGGCGAAGGCGACUUUCUGGCUGACAACUGACGCUGAGGCGCGAAAGCGUGGGGAGCGAACAGGAUUAGAUACCCUGGUAGUCCACGCCGUAAACGAUGAUUACUAGGUGUAGGGGGUAUCGACUCCCUCUGUGCCGCAGUUAACGCAUUAAGUAAUCCACCUGGGGAGUACGGCCGCAAGGUUAAAACUCAAAGGAAUUGACGGGG